rnacentral:rRNA from 1 species
UACGGAGGGGGCGAGCGUUAUUCGGAAUUAUUGGGCGUAAAGGGCGCGUAGGCGGCCCGCUAAGUCAAAGGUGAAAUCCCUCGGCUCAACUGAGGAACUGCCUUUGAGACUGUCGGGCUUGAGGCCGGGAGAGGUGAGUGGAACUGCGAGUGUAGAGGUGAAAUUCGUAGAUAUUCGCAAGAACACCAGUGGCGAAGGCGGCUCACUGGCCCGGUACUGACGCUGAGGUGCGAAAGCGUGGGGAGCAAACGGG